rnacentral:rRNA from 1 species
UACAGAGGUCCCAAGCGUUGUUCGGAUUCACUGGGCGUAAAGGGUGCGUAGGUGGUGAGGUAAGUCGGAUGUGAAAGCUCGGAGCUCAACUCCGAAAUGGCAUUGGAAACUACCUCGCUAGAGGAUCGGAGGGGAGACUGGAAUUCUCGGUGUAGCAGUGAAAUGCGUAGAUAUCGAGAGGAACACCAGUGGCGAAGGCGGUUACCUGGAGCUUUGCUGACGCUGAUGCGCGAAAGCGUGGGGAGCGAUCCGG